UACGUAGGGUGCGAGCGUUGUCCGGAAUUACUGGGCGUAAAGAGCUCGUAGGUGGUUUGUCGCGUUGUUCGUGAAAACUCACAGCUUAACUGUGGGCGUGCGGGCGAUACGGGCAGACUAGAGUACUGCAGGGGAGACUGGAAUUCCUGGUGUAGCGGUGAAAUGCGCAGAUAUCAGGAGGAACACCGGUGGCGAAGGCGGGUCUCUGGGCAGUAACUGACGCUGAGGAGCGAAAGCGUGGGGAGCGAACAGG
rnacentral:rRNA from 1 species